AUUGAACGCUGGCGGCAGGCCUAACACAUGCAAGUCGAGCGAGCGGCGGACGGGUGAGUAAUGUCUGGGAAACUGCCUGAUGGAGGGGGAUAACUACUGGAAACGGUAGCUAAUACCGCAUACCAUAGGAUGAGCCCCAGUGGGAUUAGGUAGUUGGUGGGGUAAUGGCCUACCAAGCCGACGAUCUCUAGCUGGUCUGAGAGGAUGACCAGCCAAACCGGGACUGAGACACGGCCCAGACUCCUACGGGAGGCAGCAGUGGGGAAUUUUGGACAAUGGGCGCAAGCCUGAUCCAGCCAUGCCGCGUGUGUGAAGAAGGUCUUCGGAUUGUAAAGCACUUUAAGUUGGGAGGCGUUACCAACAGAAUAAGCACCGGCUAACUUCGUGCCAGCAGCCGCGGUAAUUC
rnacentral:rRNA from 1 species